GAUUAACGCUAGCGGCAGGCAUAAUACAUGCAAGUUGAACGGCAGCACAGGUAGCAAUACUGGGUGGCGAGUGGCGCACGGGUGCGUAACACGUAUGCAACCUACCCUAUACAGGCGAAUAACCUUUAGAAAUGAGGGCUAAUACGCCGUAGUAUUACAGAUGGGCAUCUAUUUGUAUUUAAGGUUUUUUCGUUUUAGAAGGGCAUGCGUUCCAUUAGUUAGUUGGUAAGGUAACGGCUUACCAAGACGAUGAUGGGUAGGGGAUCUGAGAGGACUUACCCCCACACUGGUACUGAGACACGGACCAGACUCCUACGGGAGGCAGCAGUAAGGAAUAUUGGGCAAUGGCCGCGAGGCUGACCCAGCCAUGCCGCGUGCAGGAAGACGGCCUUAUGGGUUGUAAACUGCUUUUAUACGGGAAUAAUAGAGUGUACGCGUACAUUUAUGCAAGUAUCGUAUGAAUAAGCAUCGGCUAACUCCGUG
rnacentral:rRNA from 1 species